GAUGAACGCUGGCGGCGUGCCUAAUACAUGCAAGUCGAGCGAACAGACGAGGAGCUUGCUCCUCUGACGUUAGCGGCGGACGGGUGAGUAACACGUGGAUAACCUACCUAUAAGACUGGGAUAACUUCGGGAAACCGGAGCUAAUACCGGAUAACAUGUUGAACCGCAUGGUUCAACAGUGAAAGACGGUCUUGCUGUCACUUAUAGAUGGAUCCGCGCCGCAUUAGCUAGUUGGUAAGGUAACGGCUUACCAAGGCAACGAUGCGUAGCCGACCUGAGAGGGUGAUCGGCCACACUGGAACUGAGACACGGUCCAGACUACUACGGGAGGCAGCAGUAGGGAAUCUUCCGCAAUGGGCGAAAGCCUGACGGAGCAACGCCACGUGAGUGAAGAAGGUCUUCGGAUCGUAAAACUCUGUUAUUAGGGAAGAACAAAUGUGUAAGUAACUAUGCACGUCCUGACGGUACCUAAUCAGAAAGCCACGGCUAACUACGUG
rnacentral:rRNA from 1 species